UUCAUCAUCCUUCCUUUUUAAUUUUCCUCCUCUUCUCGGAGUGAGAGCCUUCCCCCCGCUUUUCGUGGGGUUGCAUAGGAGCGAGGAGGUGCCGAUGAGGGGCUUUUUUCUUUCACCCGAUCUUGUUGGGCGGCCGGGCUUCACCACCAUCAGCUCUUGCUGCAGAAGCCGUGGGUGGAACCCGGCUCCCGUAGGAGUCCGGGUGGAGUCUUCCUUGGCAUCGUGGAUGGAGCCCGGCUCCCGUAGGAGUCCGGGUGGAGUCUUCCUUGGCAUCGU
rnacentral:lncRNA from 1 species